UGUGUCUGCUGUUUUAAUUUUGUUGCUAAUUUGUAAGUGAAAAUGAUUAGCUGUCAUUUCAGUGUGCGAUGCCUAGAAAGUAACUGUUACAAUAGCAAAUAUGA